GGCCCUGUAGUGAAAUUCAUGGUGAGUUGCAAGCUCAUCGAUGUGUACUAGAUGUGCACCGGGGUCU
rnacentral:tRNA from 1 species